AUUCCUGAUGCCAAAGUGAAGGAAUUCAAUGAAGGGCGGGUAAAGGGCGGGAGUAACUAUGACUCGAUUAAGGUAGCCAAAUGCCUCGUGAUCUAAUUAGUGACGCGCAUGAAUGGAU
rnacentral:ncRNA from 1 species